CCUACGGGGGGCAGCAGUGGGGAAUAUUGGACAAUGGGCGAAAGCCUGAUCCAGCCAUGCCGCGUGUGUGAAGAAGGCCUUCGGGUUGUAAAGCACUUUCAGUGGGGAAGAAAGCCUUGGGGCUAAUACCCUCGAGGAAGGACAUCACCCACAGAAUAAGCACCGGCUAACUCCGUGCCAGCAGCCGCGGUAAUACGGAGGGUGCGAGCGUUAAUCGGAAUUACUGGGCGUAAAGCGCGCGUAGGCGGUCUGAUAAGCCGGUUGUGAAAGCCCCGGGCUCAACCUGGGAACGGCAUCCGGAACUGUCAGGCUAGAGUGCAGGAGAGGAAGGUAGAAUUCCCGGUGUAGCGGUGAAAUGCGUAGAGAUCGGGAGGAAUACCAGUGGCGAAGGCGGCCUUCUGGACUGACACUGACGCUGAGGUGCGAAAGCGUGGGUAGCAAACAGGAUUAGAUACCCCAGUAGUC
rnacentral:rRNA from 1 species